ACCUAGCCCCGAUUGCAGCGAUUGUUUGAGCUCAUUUUUUGGGUUUUGGGUUGCGGCGGCGAAGCCGCCGCAACCCAAAACCCAAAAAAUAGCAAGUGCGGAAAGCGGGAAAUAGC
rnacentral:sRNA from 1 species